ACUCCUACGGGAGGCAGCAGUGAGGGAUAUUGCACAAUGGGGGAAACCCUGAUGCAGCGACGCCGCGUGGGUGAUGAAGGCUUUCGGGUCGUAAAACCCUUUUUGGCAUGACGAGAACGGACGGUAGUGCCAGAAUAAGUCUCGGCUAACUACGUGCCAGCAGCCGCGGUAAAACGUAGGAGGCAAGCGUUAUCCGGAGUUACUGGGCGUAAAGGGUGCGUAGGCGGCUCAUCAAGUGGGACGUGAAAGCUCACGGCUAAACUGUGAGAGGACGACUCAGACUGAAGGGCUAGAGGGUGUCAGAGGCGUGCGGAAUUCGGGGUGUAGCGGUGAAAUGUGUAGAGAUCCCGAGGAACACCAGUGGUGCAAACGGCGCGCUGGGACACAACUGACGCUGAAGCACGAAAGCGUGGGGAGCGAACGGGAUUAGAGACCCCGGUAGUCCACGCCGUAAACGAUGUCAACUAGGUGUCUGC
rnacentral:rRNA from 1 species